GACAGGACAGGAUUGUGCAGACUUUGAUGGCUAGUUGUAGGGUACCUGAGCUAGAACCCAAUGUAGAGGGCAGGCCUGGCUUUCCCUAACAGACACUAGAGAAGAGGCACUGUUAAGGGGCAGUGGGUCAUGAGACACUUUGAUGUGUGUGAUUUCCCUGGAAGGGGAAAACCACAGUGAGGUGGCCAUAGGGCCAAGCCACAAAAUGAGAGCAGGCAAGUACUGAGAGCACGAGACAGCGAGUCACAGAGCGUAACCGCAGGAUGGGACUUCAGCCUGGCAGAGCUAAUCCCCAGAUGUGUGAUCCAGUGCAUCGUCCUGUACCGCUCCAAAGAAGAGGCUCUGAUUCUCCCUUCCAACAGGAAGCCUGUGGGAUGGCGCAGAAAUUACUGCAGGGGAACCAUUACUGAGCUACGGAUUAAUGAGCGGUCUCAUGCCUUGUUGGGAGUUUGUUGCUGGGAGCUGCACUGCUGCUGCUGACAUGUUCUGUCUGGAAAGGACACCGCAAUAUGCAGCGCUGUGUUCCUGUACUUGCUUUGAAGGCAGUGGCAGUGUGACAUGAGCUGCAAGUCUGUUUGCUCUCAAAAACAGCGGAUAUUUUUGAAUGUUUACGGAGCACAAGAACACUUCUCAAAUCAGGUUUAUACAGGAGACUGAGGUUAAUUAAAACUAGUCUUGCCACCUCCAAAA